GACGAACGCUGGCGGCGUGCUUAACACAUGCAAGUCGUACGGUAAGGCCCUUUCGGGGGUACACGAGUGGCGAACGGGUGAGUAACACGUGAGUAACCUGCCCACAACUUUGGGAUAACGCUAGGAAACUGGUGCUAAUACUGGAUAUGUGCUCCUGCUGCAUGGUGGGGGUUGGAAAGCUCCGGCGGUUGUGGAUGGACUCGCGGCCUAUCAGCUUGUUGGUGGGGUAGUGGCCUACCAAGGCGGCGACGGGUAGCCGGCCUGAGAGGGUGACCGGCCACAUUGGGACUGAGAUACGGCCCAGACUCCUACGGGAGGCAGCAGUGGGGAAUAUUGCACAAUGGGCGCAAGCCUGAUGCAGCAACGCCGCGUGCGGGAUGACGGCCUUCGGGUUGUAAACCGCUUUCAGCAGUGACGAAGCUUUUUGUGACGGGACCUGCAGAAGAAGCACCGGCUAACUACGG
rnacentral:rRNA from 1 species